rnacentral:rRNA from 1 species
UUAUUUGAGAGUUUGAUCCUGGCUCAGGAUGAACGCUGGCGGCGUGCCUAACACAUGCAAGUUGAGCGAUUUACUUCGGUAAAGAGCGGCGGACGGGUGAGUAACGCGUGGGUAACCUACCCUGUACACACGGAUAACAUACCGAAAGGUAUGCUAAUACGGGAUAAUAUAUUUGAGAGGCAUCUCUUGAAUAUCAAAGGUGAGCCAGUACAGGAUGGACCCGCGUCUGAUUAGCUAGUUGGUAAGGUAACGGCUUACCAAGGCGACGAUCAGUAGCCGACCUGAGAGGGUGAUCGGCCACAUUGGAACUGAGACACGGUCCAAACUCCUACG